AAGAUAUGAAAACUCAAGAAUAAGCUUCUAACUUAAUUCUUUAGCAGUGUAAUUCUGUUAAUAUCUUU
rnacentral:tRNA from 1 species